AACUAGAAAGAUUCUUGCUUUUGGAAUACCCAUCAUUGACAGAAUCAUAAAAUUCAACUCUAAACACAUGUUUGUUAAUCCUAUGAUUAUUCUUGUGUAUCUGAGGACUCAAAGAUUUUAGUAGGGAAUUUGAUGACGCCUUCUCGAGAUGGUGGUUUAUGAAAGUUUUGUUGAGUCUUCUACCAAUAAUAAUGCAAAAUAAAGUAGACUUACCUCCCUUCUCCUGCUCCCACAUCACCCUUGAAAUGAGGGCGUUUUGGGCCACGUGUCGGCCAAUCCCUGAAACUUAAAAAAUGUACUAUCGAUUUGGACUUUUAAAGCUCUCUAGGUCUAGAUUCAUAUCAGUCCAACCUAAGCCUUUUAUUAAAUCUCCCUCUUCUUAGUGUUGCCGUCUCUUCCUUUUCACCUUACCAGAAGCAAAACGUUUCCAUUAGCGUUUAUGGUAUAAAGCUUAAUACAAACAACGACGCUCUUUUCACCACUUUAUUCCAUCUGCACCCCCGCCCUGCAGUCUCUGAUCUAACCGCAAAUGUCAAGCCUACCAUCGCUCUCUCUCAGGUUUCAAACCCUUUCAGUAUUAAAGCCAGAGACUCUCACUUCCAUUAUAGACCCUCUCAGUCAGAGUCUCGAUAGGUUCUCUCUUGCCGGAUUCACAGUUCAAGAUUACACUGAUUCGUAUGAGAGUAACGAAUGGUAGCAGCAACAGGCGUGAUGGGUUAUCAGUAUCUGAGCUUCUGAUAUCCCCGGAGAUUUUCAAAGCUGUGAAUAAUGGAGGAAUUCAGAAAUUCUUUCCUAUUCAUCUGUGCUUGAGCCAGGAUGCAAGGUGUGCUACGAAAUGAACUAGAAAGAUUCUUGCUUUUGGAAUUCCCAUCAUUGACAGAAUCAUAAAAUUCAACUCUAAACACAGGUUUUUAAAUCCUAUGAUUGUACUUGUGUAUUUGAGGACUCAAAGAUUUUAGUAGGGAAUUUGAUGACGCCUUCUAGAGAUGAUGGUUUAUGAAAGCUUUGUUGAGUCUUCUACCAAUAAUAAUGCAAAAUAAAGUAGACUUACCUCCCUUCUCCUGCUGCCACAUUACCCUUGAAAGAGGGACGUUUUGCGCCACGUGUCGGCCAAUCCCUGAAACUUAAAAAAUGUACUAUCGAUUUUGACUUUUAAAGCUCUCUAGGUCUAGAUUCAUAUCAGCCCAACCUAAGCCUUUUAUUAAAUCUCCCUCUUCUUAGUGUUGUCGUCUCUUCCUUUUCACCUUACCAGAAUAAAACGUUUCCAUUGGCGUUUAUGGUAUAAAGCUUAAUACAAACAACGACGCUCUUUUCACCACCUUAUUCCAUAUGCGCCACCGUCCUGCAGUCUCUGAUCUAACCGCGAAUGUCAAGCCUACCAUCGCUCUCUCUCUCUCUCAGGCUUCAAAACCCUUUCAGUAUUAAAGCCAGAGACUCUCACUUCCAUUCUAGGCCUUCUCAGUCAGAGCCUCGAUAGGUUCUCUCUUGCCGGAUCCGCGGUUCAUGAUUACAUUGAUUCGUAUGAGAGUAACGAAACAGGCGUGAUGGGUUAUCAGUAUCUGAGCUUCUGAUGUCCCCGGAGAUUUUCAAAGCUGUGAAUAAUGGAGGAAUUCAGAAACUCUUUCCUAUUCAUGUACGCUCUUCUUUCUGAAAAUGGGGUCAAUCAAAGUUAUUUGUUUUUUUUUAACUCAGUAUUGAUGUCGGUUGUUUGUAUGGAAAGUUGUGCUUGAGCCAGGAUGCAAGGUGUGCUACGAAAUGAACUAGAAA